GGUUGUGUGGCUCAGUUGGUAGAGCAUGGUGUUUGCAACGCCAGGGUUGUGGGUUCAAUUCCCAUGGGGGACCA
rnacentral:tRNA from 1 species